rnacentral:rRNA from 1 species
UACAGAGGGUGCGAGCGUUAAUCGGAAUUACUGGGCGUAAAGCGAGCGCAGGCGGUUUGUUAAGUCAGAUGUGAAAGCCCCGAGCUCAACUUGGGAAUUGCGUUUGAAACUGGCAGGCUAGAGUGUGUCAGAGGGGGGGUAGAAUUCCACGUGUAGCAGUGAAAUGCGUAGAGAUGUGGAGGAAUACCGAUGGCGAAGGCAGCCCCCUGGGAUAACACUGACGCUCAUGCUCGAAAGCGUGGGUAGCAAACAGG